GCUGCUUGAGAACCACCCACAGCUUUGGCUGUGGCAGGGGACGAGACUUAGCACCCAGAGCCGGGGGGCCUUGGCUCACCACGCACGCUCUGGUGAGGUGAAACCUGGGUGCCAAAGUGA